AGUGUGUGUGUGUGUGUGUGUGUGUGUGUGUGCAUGUGCAGGGCCGUGUGGACUAGGCCAGGCCACACGGACAAGGGGAAAGUGGCUAAGCCGUGGGGAUUCCUUAGUCCACCACCGGGGGAAGGGCUCACCUGGGCACCUGCAUCCCUCUGCUUGGCGGGAUGGAGGAUCCAGAGUUUGUGCUCUCUGGGUGCUGACAGGCCUGGGGCGGCCGCGAGCUCGCCUUGCUGGCAGGCCGUUGUUCCUCCCGUCAGCGUCGGCAGGUCCAGCGCACGUGUGGUUCUGGAAGCCUGAUCUUCCUGUGGAAACAGCCGGACAUGCGGUGCUCAUUUACACAAAGAAUCCGCACAAAGGCCCGGAAGAGCUGGCUUUAGUUUUGCACUUGAAUUGCUUUUCUUCUGUUGCAGCCUGUGUGCCUGCAUGCAGCCUGUGUGCAAUCUGUGUGCAUCCUGUGUGCUGGAGCAGCGGCUGGUGAUUAGAAGUCCCGGCUAUUUUCUGGGGUCAACAGCAGAUCCAAGAUCAUCUCAGCAACUCUCUGCCUGAAAACAAGCUCUGGGAGGGCACCGCCCAGGUCACCUCCGGCUUCUGGAGCAACGGUGCUGGAAGGGCUCAACCCCCGGACCCAGGCUUCGGGAUCCAUUAAAACGUGAAGUCACCUGCGCCCUGAGCAGGCGCUGUUGCAGGAGAGCGCCUUGGCCAUGGCCCCCAGCGGACACCCCGCCAGGCUCUUCCAGCUCCGCUCAUGAGGGGAAAGUUCAAAGCCAAACAGAGUUGUUUCCUCUGCUGCCCGCGUGCACUCUCUGGGGACCUAAUCACAGCGCCCCUGCCCCAAGCAUCUACCAUCACUCCGCAAACACUCCUUCCGGCUUCAGCUUUCUACCUGCUCCACAGUCUGAAUCUUGGCAAUUUGGGGUUUGCAACGAAGGUGAGGAGAUGGGAGGCCUGUGUGCAGGCAUGUGCGUGCAUGUGUGUGUGUGUACACUGCGUGUGCGUGCAUGCACGUGUGUGUGCCUGCCCACAUACCACCUUCCACACAGCUCUGGAAACCAGGUUAGAAAAGGUUUUCUUUGAAUGUCUGGAGGGUGGGGACAGGAGGAUGAAAGACCAGGUUCCACACCAGCUGUGGCGGGAGUGGCCCUUGGGUCAGGCUCGUGGGACCAGGCCUCCCUGA
rnacentral:lncRNA from 1 species